UACAGAGGGGGCGAGCGUUGUUCGGAAUUACUGGGCGUAAAGGGCGCGUAGGCGGCCUUCUAAGUCGAACGUGAAAUCCCCGGGCUCAACCCGGGAACUGCGUCCGAUACUGGGAGGCUUGAAUCCGGGAGAGGGAUGUGGAAUUCCAGGUGUAGCGGUGAAAUGCGUAGAUAUCUGGAGGAAUACCGGUGGCGAAGGCGGCAUCCUGGACCGGCAUUGACGCUGAGGAGCGAAAGCCAGGGGAGCAAACGGG
rnacentral:rRNA from 1 species